rnacentral:rRNA from 1 species
UACAGGGGGUGCAAACGUUGCUCGGAAUUAUUGGGCGUAAAGCGCGCGUAGGCGGCUACUUAAGUCGGAUGUGAAAGCCCUUGGCUCAACUGAGGAAGUGCACCCGAAACUGAGUGGCUAGAGUACGAAAGAGGGUCGCGGAAUUCCCGGUGUAGAGGUGAAAUUCGUAGAUAUCGGGAGGAACACCGGUGGCGAAGGCGGCGACCUGGGUCGAUACUGACGCUGAUGCGCGAAAGCGUGGGGAGCAAACAGGG